CCUACGGGGUGCAGCAGCGAGGAAUAUUGGUCAAUGGACGAGAGUCUGAACCAGCCAAGUAGCGUGAAGGAUGACUGCCCUAUGGGUUGUAAACUUCUUUUAUAAAGGAAUAAAACGAGGCACGUGUGCCUUUUUGCAUGUACUUUAUGAAUAAGGAUCGGCUAACUCCGUGCCAGCAGCCGCGGUAAUAAGGAGGAUCCGAGCGUUAUCCGGAUGUAUUGGGUUUAAAGGGAGCGUAGAUGGGUUGUUAAGUCAGUUGUGAAAGUUUGCGGCUCAACCGUAAAAUUGCAAUUGAUACUGGCAGUCUUGAGUACAGUUGAGGUAGGCGGAAUUCGUGGUGUAGCGGUGAAAUGCUGAGAUAUCACGAAGAACCCCGAUUGCGAAGGCAGCUUACUAAACUGUGACUGACAUUGAUGCUCGAAAGUGUGGGUAUCAAACAGGAUUAGAUACCCGGGUAGUC
rnacentral:rRNA from 1 species